rnacentral:rRNA from 1 species
CCUACGGGAGGCAGCAGUAGGGAAUAUUGCUCAAUGGGCGAAACCCUGAAGCAGCAACGCCGCGUGGAGGAUGAAGGUUUUCGGAUUGUAAACUUCUUUUGUUAGAGAAGAUACUGACGGUAUCUAACGAAUAAGCACCGGCUAACUCCGGGCCAGCAGCCGCGGUAAUACGGAGGGUGCAAGCGUUAUUCGGAAUCACUGGGCGUUAUGAGCGCGUAGGCGGGAUAGCAAGUCAGAUGUGAAAUCCUAUGGCUUAACCAUAGAACUGCAUUUGAAACUGUUAUUCUAGAGUAUGGGAGAGGUAGGUGGAAUUCUUGGUGUAGGGGUAAAAUCCGUAGAGAUCAAGAGGAAUACUCAUUGCGAAGGCGACCUGCUGGAACGUAACUGACGCUGAUGCGCGAAAGCGUGGGGAGCAAACAGGAUUAGAUACCCCUGUAGUC